rnacentral:tRNA from 2 species
GGAAAUGUGCCUGAAUUAUAAAGGAUUACCUUGAUAGAGUAAACAACAGAGGUUCAAAUCCUCUCGCUUCCU